CCCCGCCUGCACUAGGGCCAACAACAGCCACCUGCGCCGGGAGCCGCCAGCCGGCUGGCAAGGAGCCCCGCCACGGCGAUCGCGGGGGGCGGUGCGGAGCCGCCCGCAUUUCGGGGUGGGGGACGGGGACGCUGAGCUGCUUCUCCUUCAGAGGCGCCUGGGGACGGGGGGGCCCUGCCCGCACACCUGGGAGAGGAGGAGCCGGCGCUUUGCCCUGGUCGCUGUCAGCUGCGAGCCCGCUCGGUUCCGCCCAGGGCUCGGUGCAUCCUGGUGGGGGGCUGGGGCGAGCCGGGGCCUCUAGCGAUGUGCCCCUAGGAAGGGCGGGCGAGAGGCCCGGGCUGCCCGGCUAGGCACCCAGGCUGCGCGCAGCAGCUGCAGCGAUGGCCCCUGGCCGCGGAGACGCCGCAGCCGGGCGCUGAGUCCUGCAGGGAACCGUCCACCCCCGCCCCGCGGGGAGGAAAGCGGCAGCCGGGUCUAUGGAGUAUCAGAGGAAGAAGAAACUGACCAACUUCACCAUUGGCCUCCUCUUCCUCUCGGGAGGGAUCGAGUACGCGGUGAUUCUGCCCACGAUCUGGGCCUACUUGCAGACGCUCCAUGCUGAGCCGUACUUUCUGGGCCUGGGCAUCUCUGCUUUCAGCCUCACCGGCCUGCUUGCGGGGCCCCUCUUCGGGCACUGGUCUGAUCGGAGCCAGCACACCAAAGCCAUCAUCCUCUUUGCCAACGUGUUUGAGAUAGUGGGGAAUUUCAUGUACUUUAUGGGCAUCUCCAAGUGGCUCCUCCUGGGCAGCCGGCUGGUGGCAGGUGUUGGGACAGGAGCGGGUGCCUCCAUCUUUGGCUAUCUCACCCGCUCCACCACGUCACAGGAGCGCGCCACGGUGUUUGCUGCAGUGAUGGCAUGCCGGCAGAUUGGGCUGCUGAUUGGACCCACCUGUAACCUCUUCCUGCGGCUCUGUAACUUCCGGCUGGGGCCCUUUGAGGUCAACAAGUUCACCUCCCCAGGGCUCUUCAUGUGCCUGCUCUGGAUCCUGCUCCAGUUUGCCGUCGCGGUGAUGUACUACGACCUGCAGCCCGUGCCCCACCCGCCGCUGGCAGUGCAGCAGGAGGAGGAGCAGGAGCCCUUGGUGCAGCACGGCGUGGGCCAGGAGGAGCCCGCUGAGCACCGGGGCUAUGGCGGCACUGGCCAGAGGGCGCCCCCCGUGGGAGACGAGUCCCGCUACGUGCCCAACGGGCACCUGGCCGAGGAGGAGGGCAAAGUAAAGGAGAAGAGCCCAUUUCAGAACUUCAGCACCAUGCGAGAGUACCUGCGGGAGGAAGUGGUGGUUCUGCUCACUGCCCAGUUCAUCACCCUCUUCAACCAAACAGCCCUGGAGACCAUGGUGACUCCCAUCACCCAGCGCUACCUGAGCUUCGGGGAGCUUGAGAACAGCAUCAUGUACUUCCUGUGUGGCAUCGAGGUGAUCUGCGGCUUCUUCCUGGUACACUGUCUCAGCAGCCGCCUCCCUGACCGCGUAAUCCUGGUUCUCGGGCUGGUCAUUUGUAACGUGGCUUGUGUCUGGUGCCUGCUCUUCCUGGCACGGCCCCAAGGAAGCUUUCCCGUCCUGCUGUCUGAGCUGGUGGUCGGCGUAUUCCUGCAGGUGCUGGGGCUGCCCUUCGUGGCUGUCUCCCAGGUCUCGCUCUUCUCCAAGGUCACAGCAGAGAGAACCCAAGGGUUCAGCCAGGGCCUGCGGCGGUCAGUGGGGGGAGUCGCCACCAUUCUGGGGCCCCUGUGGGCUGGAGGCCUGACUGAAAACCUCUACAUCAUGCUGGGGGUGAUGAUGGGCCUGUUGAGCCUGCUGAUGGUCAUGGUCGGGCUCUCAUACUCUUACCUGGUGGAGCCGCCCCGGGUCUACGUGCCAGGACCGUCCCAGGAGGAGCGGCGCUUGUGACCUCCCGCCCCUCCGCUGCACUCCCAGAGGUAUUGCACGGUUCAAAGCCACCAAGGUAUUGCACUGGCUGGCACUGAGGGCUCAUGCAUCACAGCCUGUCACCAUCUGGCUCCCUUGCUUUUGGGUAGGGCCAUGGGGAGUGGGACCUGAGUUCUGGGCCUUGCAAAGGACAGUGGGAUUGUCAGUGGAUGAGCCCACAUCCCUGCCCUUCCGGACUGGCACUCCUUCCACAUCCUUCCUUCCUUCCCCUCCUGAACUGGCACUCCCCACCAUCCUGGGCUGGCCCUUGCCCUGUCCCUCCCUCCAAGGACUGGCCUUCCUGUUCUGCUGGCCACCUGCCCCCAGACUGACCAGCCUUCCUCUCCCACCUCCAUGCCAAACUAUGUCCCAGCUGGCUGCUGUCUCUCUGGACAGAGGGGCAAGGGGAUAGGGGAAGUCCCAGGAGGUGGAGGGGGUGGGAGAUGCUCCUGGCCUGCUGAGGGUGCAGGAUGCUGGAUCUCUCCUAGACAGAGUAAUGUUGCUACCACCUUGCUGUUGGCAGGCCGCAGGAGGCUGAGCUGUGGGCCUGGCAUGGGGGUGGGUCUUUGUGGCUGGGUGUUCCUCACUGGAGGCUUAGCUGAGCCUGCACCCGGGAGAAGGUGGGGGGGCCACCAGCCCAAGUGGAAGAGCCUGCCCCAUGGCAUCAAAGGGAAAACAAGGGCAAUAAAGCUGCUUGCCUCUGCCCC